rnacentral:rRNA from 1 species
AGCAGCCGCGGUAAUUCCAGCUCCAAUAGCGUAUAUUAAAGUUGUUGCAGUUAAAAAGCUCGUAGUUGAAUUUCGGGGUCAGCAGGUUGGUCGUGCCACUGGUAUGUACUGGUCUCGCUGAUUCCUCCCUCUUGUAGAACCGUAAUGCCAUUAAGUUGGUGUUGCGGGGAAACAGGACUGUUACUUUGAAAAAAUUAGAGUGUUUAAAGCAGGCUAACGCUUGAAUACAUUAGCAUGGAAUAAUGAAAUAGGACGAUCGAUCCUAUUUUGUUGGUUUCUAGGGUUGACGUAAUGAUUAAUAGGGAUAGUUGGGGCAUUAGUAUUCAAUUGUCAGAGGUGAAAUUCUUGGAUUUAUUGAAGACUAACUACUGCGAAAGCAUUUGCCAAGGAUGUUUUCAUUAAUCUAAGAACGAAAGUUAGGGGAUCGAAGACGAUCAGAUACCGUCGUAGUCUUAACCAUAAACUAUGCCGACUAGGGAUCGGAUGAUGUUAAUUUUUAAUGUACUCAUUCGGCGCCUUA